UGACAUGUAGCUCAAUUGGACAGAGCAAUACGCUACGGACGUAUGUGUUGCAGGUUCGAUUCCUGUCGUGUCAG
rnacentral:tRNA from 1 species